rnacentral:rRNA from 1 species
UGGGGAAUAUUGGACAAUGGGGGCAACCCUGAUCCAGCCAUGCCGCGUGCGUGAAGAAGGCCUUAGGGUUGUAAAGCGCUUUCAGCGGGGACGAUGAUGACGGUACCCGCAGAAGAAGCCCCGGCUAACUCCGUGCCAGCAGCCGCGGUAAUACGGAGGGGGCAAGCGUUGUUCGGAAUUACUGGGCGUAAAGCGUCCGCAGGUGGUGCCUCAAGUCUGCUGUCAAGGACCGAAGCUCAACUUCGGGCAGGCAGUGGAAACUGAAGCACUAGAGUACGGUAGGGGUAGAGGGAAUUUCCAGUGUAGCGGUGAAAUGCGUAGAGAUUGGAAAGAACACCAGUGGCGAAGGCGCUCUACUGGACCGUAACUGACACUCAGGGACGAAAGCGAGGGGAGCGAAAGGGAUUAGAUACCCCCGUAGUCC